rnacentral:rRNA from 1 species
GAGUUUGAUCCUGGCUCAGAACGAACGCUGGCGGCGUGCCUAACACAUGCAAGUCGAACGUGAUCCAGAGCUUGCUCUGGUGAAAGCGGCGCACGGGUGAGUAACGCGUGGAUAACCUACCCUGGUAUCCGGGAUAACAUUCCGAAAGGGGUGCUAAUACCGGAUAAGCCCACGGGCUCUUUGGAGCUUGCGGGAAAAGGUGGCCUCUAUUUAUAAGCUACUGUAUCAGGAUGGGUCCGCGUACCAUUAGCUAGUUGGCGGUGUAACGGACCACCAAGGCGACGAUGGUUAGCUGGUCUGAGAGGAUGAUCAGCCACACUGGAACUGAGACACGGUCCAGACUCCUACGGGAGGCAGCAGUGGGGAAUUUUGCGCAAUGGGGGAAACCCUGACGCAGCAACGCCGCGUGAGUGAUGAAGGCCUUUGGGUCGUAAAGCUCUGUCAGAGGGGAAGAAAUGAUAUAGUGCUAAUACCACUUUAUCUUGGCGGUACCCUCAAAGGAAGCACCGGCUAACUCCGUGCCAGCAGCCGCGGUAAUAC